UUCUUAUCCAGAGAGGUGGAGGGACUGGCCCUAUGAAACCUCAGCAACAGGUCUACAAAGACACUGUGCUAAUUCCAGGGGGUGAAACCUUGAUAGAUAAGAC
rfam:Bacillus sp. FJAT-22058 super1, whole genome shotgun sequence.